rnacentral:rRNA from 1 species
GAUGAACGCUGGCGGCGUGCCUAAUACAUGCAAGUCGAGCGAACGGACGAGAAGCUUGCUUCUCUGAUGUUAGCGGCGGACGGGUGAGUAACACGUGGAUAACCUACCUAUAAGACUGGGAUAACUUCGGGAAACCGGAGCUAAUACCGGAUGAUAUUUUGAACCGCAUGGUUCAAAAGUGAAAGACGGUCCUGCUGUCACUUAUAGAUGGAUCCGCGCUGCAUUAGCUAGUUGGUAAGGUAACGGCUUACCAAGGCAACGAUGCAUAGCCGACCUGAGAGGGUGAUCGGCCACACUGGAACUGAGACACGGUCCAGACUCCUACGGGAGGCAGCAGUAGGGAAUCUUCCGCAAUGGGCGAAAGCCUGACGGAGCAACGCCGCGUGAGUGAUGAAGGUCUUCGGAUCGUAAAACUCUGUUAUUAGGGAAGAACAUAUGUGUAAGUAACUGUGCACAUCUUGACGGUACCUAAUCAGAAAGCCACGGCUAACUACGU